GCCCGCACAAGCGGUGGAUGAUGUGGAUUAAUUCGAUGCAACGCGAAGAACCUUACCUGCUCUUGACAUGCCAGGAACCUUGGAGAGAUCUGAGGGUGCCCGAAAGGGAAUCUGGACACAGGUGCUGCAUGGCUGUCGUCAGCUCGUGUCGUGAGAUGUUGGGUUAAGUCCCGCAACGAGCGCAACCCUUAUCAUUAGUUGCUACGCAAGGGCACUCUAAUGAGACUGCCGGUGACAAACCGGAGGAAGGUGGGGAUGACGUCAAGUCCUCAUGGCCCUUAUGAGCAGGGCUUCACACGUCAUACAAUGGUCGGUACAGAGGGUUGCCAACCCGCGAGGGGGAGCCAAUCCCACAAAGCCGAUCGUAGUCCGGAUCGCAGUCUGCAACUCGACUGCGUGAAGUCGGAAUCGCUAGUAAUCGCGGAUCAGCAUGUCGCGGUGAAUACGUUCCCGGGCCUUGUACACACCGCCCGUCACACCAU
rnacentral:rRNA from 1 species